UACGUAGGUGGCGAGCGUUGUCCGGAAUUAUUGGGCAUAAAGGGAGCGCAGGCGGGAAGGUAAGUCUAUCUUAAAAGUGCGGGGCUCAACCCCGUGAGGGGAUGGAAACUAUCUUUCUUGAGUGCAGGAGAGGAAAGCGGAAUUCCUAGUGUAGCGGUGAAAUGCGUAGAUAUUAGGAGGAACACCAGUGGCGAAGGCGGCUUUCUGGACUGUAACUGACGCUGAGGCUCGAAAGCGUGGGGAGCGAACAGG
rnacentral:rRNA from 1 species